AUGAAAAGAUGUCGUAGCAUAGUUUGACCUCAGGGUGGCGCAUGCGCCCCAUAUUCAGCUGUUGUUAUGCCAACGUCAGUUUGUCGUUACGCUUUCAUACUGGAGAAAAAACCCAAGCCUAACGUCCGAAAGGAAAAAAAGGUACUAAAUACUUUGUAGUGAAAUUCAAUAUUAAUUAGUUAUUUUAUAUCAAAGAUCAACCCAGAAGUGAAAACCAACUUGAAGCCAGUGCUCAACGUUAUACUUUUCACCACGAAGCUCCGAUCAACCCAGAAGUCAAAACCGACGUGAAGCCAGUGCUCAACGUAAUGCUUUUCACCACAUUGGUUUUUUUAUUGACUCCCGACCAGAACCGAUUCUGAACCGUGCAGUUCAGUGGCGAGCCAACCCGAGAUCGUAGACAGACCCCUACCCACCGGUGUGGCCAGCCGGAGAGCGAGGAUUUGCCUACAAAGAUUGAAUUGACUGACUUGACUGACUGACCACCAAAUCUCAACCGGAUUCCAGAUAAGAUCUUUUAAGAUUGUGCACACUGAAAGAGACAUUGAUUCACACAUUCAAGAACUUUCAUUCACACACACACACACACACACACACACACACACACACACACACAUUUUAUUUAUUUUGUUUUUUGGGGAAUUUAAUUUUAUAUUACUGUCUGCACUUUAUAGUGCUCCGAUCUGUAGACAAUAAAAUUGUCACCUGUUCAAU